GUAGGUGGCAAGCGUUGUCCGGAAUUAUUGGGCGUAAAGCGCGCGCGGGCGGUUCUUUAAGUCUGAUGUGAAAGCCCACGGCUCAACCGUGGAGGGUCAUUGGAAACUGGAGAACUUGAGUACAGAAGAGGAAAGCGGAAUUCCACGUGUAGCGGUGAAAUGCGUAGAGAUGUGGAGGAACACCAGUGGCGAAGGCGGCUUUCUGGUCUGUAACUGACGCUGAGGCGCGAAAGCGUGGGGAGCAAACAGGAUUAGAUACCCUGGUAGUCCACGCCGUAAACGAUGAGUGCUAAGUGUUAGGGGGUUUCCGCCCCCCUUAGUGCUGCAGCUGACGCAUUAAGCACUCCGCCUGGGAGUACGGCCGCAAGGCUG
rnacentral:rRNA from 1 species